UUAAAUAGGAGCAUAGGAGGGAAUUUUAUCAUAAUAGUGGGAAUUUUUAAGGUACGUUGAGGGAAAAAGCUUACUCGGCAGCUGGCAACACGGGAAAAGUAACCUGCCAUCGCCAUCCUGCCAAGCGGUGAUAAUUUGUGGUUAGGUAUAUCCUAUCCUAUGUUGAUCUUUUUCUUUGAUUUUUUUACAUUUACCGUACAAUUCUCCGAGACUAUUACUUUAAUUACUAAGCUGAAGCUUGUUUUCUUCAGUUUUUCAUAGACCCACCUGCUUGUGGUGAUUAGAGCUGAGACAAAACUGAGCAUCGGAAUCUGAAGCUAGCGGGUUUAAUGUAAGUUCCAAUAAAUAAUUUUAGACAAUAGAUUGUAUUUUAGUUGAGUGAUUACUGACUAAAUAGUUAUAUAAAA